rnacentral:siRNA from 1 species
UUGUUGGCAACAUAGCUGGAG